rnacentral:rRNA from 1 species
UACAGAGGUCUCAAGCGUUGUUCGGAUUCAUUGGGCGUAAAGGGUGCGUAGGCGGCGCGGUAAGUCGGGUGUGAAAUCUCGGAGCUUAACUCCGAAACUGCAUUCGAUACUGCCGUGCUUGAGGACUGGAGAGGAGACUGGAAUUUACGGUGUAGCGGUGAAAUGCGUAGAUAUCGUAAGGAAGACCAGUGGCGAAGGCGGGUCUCUGGAC